rnacentral:rRNA from 1 species
UACAGAGGUCUCAAGCGUUUGUUCGGAUUCAUUGGGCGUAAAGGGUGCGUAGGUGGCGUCGUAAGUCGGGUGUGAAAUUUCGGAGCUUAACUCCGAAACUGCAUUCGAUACUGCGGUGCUUUGAGGACUGGAGAGGAGACUGGAAUUUACGGUGUAGCAGUGAAAUGCGUAGAGAUCGUAAGGAAGACCAGUGGCGAAGGCGGGUCUCUGGGCCUUACCUGACGCUGAGGAGCGAAAGCGUGGGUAGCGAACAGG